rnacentral:rRNA from 1 species
UAGCCAGUUCAGCAGGCAGAUCCAUUUUCUGCCACCGAAUACAUUAGCAUGGGAUAAUGGAAUAGGACCCUGUCCUCCUAUUUUCAGUUGGUUUUGGCAGCGCGAGGACUAGGGUAAUGAUUAAUAGGGAUAGUUGGGGGCAUUAAUAUUUAAUUGUCAGAGGUGAAAUUCUUGGAUUUAUGAAAGAUUAACUUCUGCGAAAGCAUCUGCCAAGGAUGUUUUCAUUAAUCAAGAACGAAAGUUAGGGGAUCGAAGACGAUCAGAUACCGUCGUAGUCUUAACCAUAAACGAUGCCGACCAGCGAUUAGGAGACGUUGAAUACAAAACACCACCAUCGGUUGCGGUCGUCCUUGGCGUCUCGGUUUCGGCCGGGGCGCGGGGACGGUUUAGCCCGGUGGCACCGGUGAAUGACUCCCUAGACUUUGUGUGUGAGAAA